rnacentral:lncRNA from 1 species
AGUUGCGAAGAAAAGAGAAAUUCAUCAUAUGAUAUUCCCUGUAUAUGUGUUGUUAAUAAAAGCAAGCACAAUGAGCUCAUUAACGAUAAUGAAAGAAUCAGCAAAAAGAAAUGUGGAAAAUUUUCAUUUGAUUUGAAAUAGAUUAUUAGCAAAGCAUUUUACGGAGUGGGAAGGAAGAAAGAAGGUGGAAUCCCCUUCUACAUUUGCACAUGAAUUCAACGCAUAUUUCAUUGCACCUUGUUCAUUGAUUGCGCUCCUUAACAGAAGGAGUUGUCUUUUCUUUGUCUCUUCGCUUCGUCUCUCUCUUCUAUCUCGUUCGUAAACUCAAUCUUCCACUUAUCUUAUGAUUGAGCCUCUUAAGUCGAUCUUCUGCGAACCCGUAGGCUCCUAUCUCGCUCCUACGUCGAUUUGCGCUUGCACGACUCAUAUUACAUUGAACCUUCGCUUCUAGCCUUCCCGCUCCUUUUGAGUCUUAUUCCUUACCUCCGGCUAAAGCUUCGCGCCUUUUGGAAAACCGACUCAAGACCUUCUUUUCAUGCCAAUGUGAGAAAUGGACUAAUUGGGUCAGUCUUUUAGUUAGCAUUCACUAGCCUUGAACUAAGCUUUCUUGGUCUCGCUAUGGGGUCUCUCUGCUUGAUCCUCCCCGGUGGGGUUCCGCGCUUCGCAAGUAGACGACUGAAUUUGACAACCACCGAACCGCGUAGUGGGCAUGAUUGACUCGUUCAAAGCCUUUUUCUAGUUCUAGAGGAUCAAAGAAUAUUGAGAAAGAGAGAUAGAUAUGAAAGACCACUUUGAAACUACUAAAGCAAGAAGAAUGGAAGAAAGAAGAGCCAGAGAAAGGGCUCCAGCCGCCCACCCCUCAGUACUCGAAGUCUUUCAUCAAAGAAAGACAGAUCACUCAUCAGGUAGGUUGGGGGCCCCCUAGGUCGGCUGAUAGGGAAUAAGAGGUUGAAAAGGCUCGACCUUUCGCUGGUCUUCUUCGAUCGACCAGUGUCAGAGGGUCGUUCAUUAAGAGUUGGAGAAGCCAGAUCAAGAAGAAGAACUUCCAGUUGUGGACCUUCAACCUUUCACCUGGAUCUAGGAUAGAUGAUCCCCGGGACUAGAAAGAAGGGAAAGCGCUCCGAGAGGGUCUUUCAGUUGCAGAAGAUAGGGGCCCACCAGUGGCUGCUAGAUCAGAUCAAUGGUCCGCGGGUCGAAAGGAUCUCUUUCUUGAAGCACUAGGUUGCGAACCUGAAGCAUGCUUCUUUGGCUGAAAUUUCUCCUUUUAGGGAGAAAAUCGUAUAAGUGACGAGACCUUUUGAAGUAGGGAAAUCUGUCCCAAUAGAUAGAUAAAGGAUAAGUUGUGCCCAAGAAAAGAAGCAAGGGUCCAAGAUUCCUUAGAAAUUUCUUAGGAGGAGAGGUCUUGUUUCGGUGUGAAUAACUAAGACGCUGUCUUCUUAUCCGGAGAGGAGGACAAAAAAGCUUCCUGAUUGAGUGGCAUAGAAAGUUUCAGAUAGAUCGGCGGCAGAAGUGGCUGUUGAAAGGUGCGAAGGAGCGGUCUCGCAAUAUUCUUUGCUCCGUCUCAUUGAUAAGGACAUAUUAACCUCUCGUCCGAACCCGUGUUUUUCUAUUGAGUGACUAUUCAUCAUAUUUUGGAGCGGGAGAGAGAGAAGUUCUUGUCCCAGUUGUUCCAGUUGCUGUCGUUCUCGCAUCGAAAAGGUAAUUAUCCCAUAGUCUCCCUCGGGCUAGGCGCGCCCAGGCAGAGUUAGCGAGCCACGGAUGAAAUAUUCUUUGCGCCUGUUGUAACUGAAAGCAAGAAGAGAGGGUCGGGCCCUUGCUGUCUAACUGAAUGAAUCAGACUGAGUAGGGGAUCUGAUUAUGAACGAAGAGGGACAAACUCUCCAAGGACCGCUCGACCCACACGCCCAAAGGCAGGCGAAGGGCGCUCUUUCAUCCAUCAUAAGGAAGUGUCCCCGAAUUCUCUCUUUUUUCUUGAUGAGGACGCCGAUCAUUCUUUGAGCCUCUCUUUCUACAACUCAAAAGAGCCUAAGAAAUAAUCUUGAAUAAAGAAAGCACUAUUUUCAUGGUUUUGGGCCUCCGAAGUCGGAAAGAGAAAGCCUAUGGGGAAAUAGCAAUUCAUUCAUGGAUGACUUUUUUUUUGUCUUUCUUCUCCCCGAUCUCAGAACUAAGCUAGCAUACUCAACUGAAAAAGUGAGAAAGAAGGCUACUGACCACGGGGACGAGGGGCCGAGGACCUCUGUCUAUUCCUAGAUCCUCUUAUCGCCGACCAGGCGCCGGUCUCGCUUCUUCCACUUCAAGAGAUCAUGCUUCGGAAACUAUGACAGAUGUAGAUCCUAACCCAUUGCUCAUGCUUUCGGUUCUCUCUGAGUUAAAGAUUGUCGAGUGCGCUCUUCUUAUCAUUGAUCGGUCACCCUAGCGGAAUUCUAACUCUCUUAUUCUUUAAUGCAAUGACUCCAUACCUUUCCAAGACUUCCUUCCGCCCCUACUAUGGAAAGAAGCUCUUUCCCCUCCUCACCCACGUAGCAGCGGUAAAUCAGCUACCCGCGCUCCCUAACUUCCUUCAUCAAGAGAGUCAUGAAAACCCGCCGAUUAGACCUAGACCCGAGUCGAGCCGUUGCAGCUACGUCAGUUCUUUCCCUUUCUGCAGUGCUUGCUCUUGUUUAAGAGUCAGCUUCAGUCCUUCUUCGAUCAGAAGUUUCUCCAGUUUCAACAAGCAUUGACACCUUGAGACCAGUCAUCUGGACCCUUGUUUUUACCCAUUAAUGAAAAGUAUGUAUAGCUUUUUUUGGAAUUGAAUAUGGAUGUGGAAAUCUUCUUUCAGAGUCCUUCGCCUUGGAUCUGAUCUUUGCUCCUACGAUAGUAAUGUUUGUAAUAGUCUUCUAAAUCAUAAAAACCUCCUACGUCCUUCUACGCGGCAAGGAAUGCUAAGAGAAAGAAGAAAGACAACUCCGCAAUAUCCCUGUCUUAUUGCACCGCGUAGUGGCCCUAAUGGAUAGUCCUUCGGACCUGUCUUAUGGCGCGCCUCCGGACCUGUCUUCUCGCCUUUCUUUUUGGCAACAAAAAAAGCUUUACUAGAGGCGCAAAGAAUAUUGCGUGGAAGUUCACUAUCAAAGAAUAUUGACGAAAAGAAAAGAAGCUCAUUAACGAGAAUUAAAGAAGCUCAAAAUGAAUCUGCUAGAUUGAAGAGCUAGAUUUCAGAUUAAUCUGCUAGAUUGAAGACGGAGGGAAAUGCUAGGUUUUGGGCCUAUAAAGUAGCAAGAAAUCAUGAAAAAUCAGGCAAAAUUAGACAAUUAUCGUUAAAUAUCAAUCUUUGAUUUAGUCCUAUUUAGAAGCAAAAAAGCCGGGAAAACGCAAUGAAAGAAGAACUCCUAGGACAGGGAAAAUCAAUGAAGACUUCUAGUUUGAGUUUCUGGUCCGGAGAAAUACGGGUCUAUUCUUGAUUUCCCUCCGUAAAAACAAGGCUCAAAGAAUGAUCGGAUUCUUUCAUUCUCGUUAAUGAGCUCAUUUUCUACCUUUCAAACUGCUACAGCUGAUUAAGUCGCUUCGCUCCCCCUUCUUUCUUUCCUGCCCUUUCCUCCCCUAAACCUUUAGGUUAUCCAUCUCCGUCCAGGCUCCUUUGGUCACCUCUUCCUCCCCUCCACCCUCCGGAACAAGGUUUCUUUCCUACUACUGCUGAUUAGGUCGCUUCGCUCCGGAAGAAGGUUCAAAGAAUAUUGAGCUGCUUAUGCUUAGGUCGCUGCGCUCCACCAGGUUUCUUUCCUUCCCUUUCCCGGUUUGGAUUCAAACUUCCUUUUUCCCGGACUUCCAAAGGAAGAAAUUUCAGACUCGAGGUUAAGAGGCGGAAUCCUCUUUCGAGAGGAUUAGGCGAGACCGCUACGUGGGGGUUUUCGUUUAAGAAGAAGAAGUAAACCACUCUUUGGUUCAAGUCGCGAGGAGGAUCAAGAGGUUCUGGAGCUGAGUGAGGAUAGGACCAAGCGGUACGAGGAGAAGAAAAAGGAGACCAGCUUCACCUGCCCUUGUGGGAAAGCCGGAGGCUGGAUCGGAAUUUGCUCUUUUCACGUAGUUGAGGAAUGAAAUCACUCGACUUUAGGAAGAGGAAUGCUCUUGCCGACUCGAUCCCUCGGCCUCUCGCCUGGCUUCUUCUUCAUUUACGUAAAUAGCUUUGAUUACGCUGGUUCUUAAAACCUACGGCAAGGAUCCAUAAGACAGGUCCGAAGGACUAUCCAUUUGAGUUGCGUGAAGAAGAGAAGAUUUCCGGUCUACGAGUGCAAAUCGUCCCGGUUGAACGUGGACUGAAUUACACAACGGGAGAGAUACAAAAGGCUGCAACUAAGCAAUUCGUAUACGUUGAAAAAGUCAGCCUCACGCCCUGUGCUUUGGGAGAUCUUUCCCCCACCUCUUUCAGCCGUCCCCGUGGUGGAGGCAGAUCUUGCUUGCUUUUCUUCAAAGUGAUUAUUUCAUAGAAUGAAUGAACAAGUAGGAAAAACGAAUAUGAUGAAUAAGACGAGUACAAGAAGCAAGCCAAUACAAUAAAGAGGAUGAUCGUACGAGAGUACACCCACCACCAGCAUCUGAUCUCGAGAAGGGAAGGGGUCAGACCGAGGCAAACUAAGACGAAGCCGAAGCCAACCGGAAGCGAACCCCUCCUCUUUCCCUUUCAUCAGAGUCCGUCGCAUAGGAAGUCGAUUUGAUCCUCCCCUCUUUCAUCUGAAGUGGAAGUUCUUCUCCUUUCUGUGGCAGUUCUUUCUUCCCUGAUUCAUUCCCUUGCUUUAUUUGUUAUACUAUUUAGUAAGUAAAUCGUUCCGCUGGGGAAGAAAGAUCAGAGUUUAAGAAAGAGAAGAAGAUCAUCAGACUCGAGACCUUUAAUAAGAACGAGAGGCGCGAAGCGCAUUUAUCUGCAGGGGAGCGAGUCCUUCGGACAGGAGCGCAAGCGCAAGAAAGGCGAGCCCUUUAUUUCAUAGUAGGGUUCCAGAGGUUAUCAGCUAAUAUAAGGAUAGUAGUUAUAUCAGUCGACCAGCGAGACCGCUAAAGAGAUAAGAGUAUUCAAGAUCAGAGAAGAAGAGCUCUUUAUUUGCACUCCUUAAUCUCGCUUGGCUUCGCCCCUUAGUUUCUAAUAGAAUAUCUUCUUAUAAGUUUCGCGGGAUCAGAGCGAGAUUGUCUAUAGAAAGAAGUACGAUGUAAGCGGCCCGGUCUCCCACUGAAAGGAGAGGGAUGAAAUAGCUCGACCCCACUUUGCCCCAUAUAGUUAACUAAGAGAGGCCCAUUCCGCUUCUAAAAGCACAAAAAUCUGAGACUUUUCUACUUGAUUCUUUUACCGCUCGGACUCAUGGUGGAUUGAUUUGGGUUCAAAAUCAUGCAAACUAGAAAAAGACGCUAGCUACCGGAGGGCUCGAGGCGAGCUUAAUAGUAGGGUUGGAGAGUCAGCGGAAUGGAAGUUUCAUGAAGAUUUCAUGAUCCCACGGAGAAAAUGAGAAAAGAGCUUUAGUUUUUCAAGAGAAGAGUAUGAAAGAAAGAUCAGAGAAUGAAAAAGAGAGGUUCAAAGAAUAUUGACAAGAGAAGAGGAUAAAGGCUGUAGGGAAGAGGAGGAGCAAAGAAUUUGCGAAAGCACUGUCUCAAGAAUCAACUGAAAGAGAAAAGAGAGAGAAGAAGAGCAAGAGCUUGAUAGAUAAAGCACUUUCAUAUUAUUGAAUAAUAUUCUUUCCUUCGCAGCUCAGAAGAGCUUUCUAAACCUCAAAAUAAUCGGAAAGCCUAUCACUCGCAGUUUCGCAGAGCUUUAUAAAGAGGUUCAGAGCUUGAAUUACUACUUAGAUCUUUUGAAUAUCUGAUUCUUUCUUGAGCAGUAUUAGCUGCUCUUCUUUACUUCUUCUUGAGUUCUUCAUAUUUUCUUAUUGAGAGGGAGACGAAGCUGGAAUUGAGGAAGCGAGAUCACAGACAGACAGCUAGAUCAAAAUGAGUGGAUUAAUAGGAAGCCCACGGCGGGUGGGAGGUAAGGAGACUAAUCCCGUCCCCCCUUUCCUUAACCUCAUCCUUAUGCCGAGAAGGGAGAGGCGAGACUGAAGGGGUUAGUUGUCCGAUGUGAGGCAAAUGAGACACUCUCCUUUCAUCUUCGUUCACACUCUCUUAUCUUUCUAAGAAUGAUAUCAAAAAUCAAGGAAAAUAGGCUCAAACUCUUUCUCUAAGGACGCGGGAUGGGAGUGAGUUGAAGGCAUACGAUCUGAAAGAAUUGCUUGACUAAGGGCUGACCUACUAACAAGAAAAGCAAGCUUCCAAACCUACUCAAAUAUGGUAGAUUUCAGAGUCCUCACUGGUUUCAUUGAAAAGGUCCAGGUGACUAUUCGCUAUUCUAAAAGACUAGGAGUCUCUUAUUUACUUAUCAAGGGAUUCCACUAAUUCCCACCUUCCCUGCCCUGAAACCCACCCUCUUUCAUUCUCGUCCCCUCUUCGCUAGUCUCCCUCUUGAGCAGCAAGGGAAGGGCGAGUCUAAUUAAUCUGCCGAAAUAAGGGAGAGCAUCUCAAGCUCCCUGGCAAAAUGGACAAUUGAGUAAGAAAUCGCCCUAUGCUAACAGCAACUUUGAAAGUCAAAUCAGCCAUUAAUAAGGAAUCCUUUCGUUGCACUCCUAAUAAGAUAAGGGAUAAGUCUUUCUCUCCUUUCAGUCGAGACCUUGUUCAUGGAUUCAGUCGUCCUCCGGCAGGUCGCAAUAUGCGCCUCGUUGCGCUCCUUUCUUCUUUUCCGCAAUAUGAAAAGCUCCUAACUACUAAUGGAAAGGACUGAGGACGUCCGAAGGACUCUAAACCGGACGACCAUACAUAGGGAGAGGCGAGAUCUAAUAUGAGUUGAGAAGCGCAUGAAAUCAAUGAACAAGGGGCGCAAAGAAUAUAUAGAAGGGAAAAAAAUAGCCAUUGGACGGAGGACUCCUUUAUGGAACUUCCAAUUUCUUGGACUCUGAAAUCCAUAUUAACUUCUUGGACUCGUCCAAACCACUCGGAAUGCACUCGGAUCUCAUUAACCACGGAUCGAGCUCCGGACUCUGGUUUAGAGUCCACUGUAUUUCGAAUAAGAUACUCGGCCGGGAUUAGCUUCAUUUUACAGUAAGAUCCGCAGGAUAAUCUUUAGGAAAGAAUCGGACUAAGGAUCAGUUGGAAAAGAAGGACGGACCCCAUUCCGGUUGGUUCGCAGCUACCUUCAACUUCGCUCCGAUCAUUGUGCGGAGUGAAUACACUACUGCCAUGAAAACCCGGGAGCCGUAGACGUCUUCCUUGUCUACCGACCAUAAACUGAGAGCGAGGAGAGCAAGAAAGUUAGCUUUUCCCUUUCGUUUUGCCCGGUUGCCUCCUACCUUCAAAUCCGCGUCUUGAUGGACUCAAUGAGCCUCCGCUCCAUUCUUUUUUCUCUUCGGGUUAGCUAAGAGUUGCCUACGGGUUGCUUUAGAAGCUUUCCCGCGUAGGGUUCAAUCUUCGACAUCUGAUAAUUAGCGUUCUGAGCCAGCCAAGAAGUUUUUCUAUAAGAUAGAGAACAUUAUGCAAUCGAAGUACACUAAAAACCUACCCUCGAGUCAGCAAAGAAGGUUCAUUCUUAUCACUCUGGCCCAAUCGGGAAGAGACAAAAGAAAGGACAUUCUUCCCCCUCCGACGGAGCAAAGUUCAUUUAUAGGAGGACAAAAAUUCCCUAAUGGAUAGUCCUUCGGACCUGUCUUAUGGCACCUUCUGACUAUUCAUCCUAUUUCUUUAGGAGGACUAUGAAACCUAUUACUUUGAGAAGCGAGGCUGAAGGGUUAGAUAUUAUGUCUGGUGCACAGCUAUAGUAAUAGCACAAGAAAAAGACCAGGACGGAGAGUUGCAUCAUCAUAUUGCUCUCCUUAAUGAGAAUGCUUCAAGACAUAACAUAAUGCGAGAACCCGAAUAAGAGAAGCCUGAGAUUCAAAAUCAAGCUCCAGAUGAGUUGAGCUGUCUCACCUUGAAUAAGGGUUGGAGCACCCUUGUGCCUAUGUAAGAAAGCAAGGAGUUUCGCGCCCGUGGUAACUGGGGAAAGUUCUCGCUAACCGAGAUACUCAAGGAAGGCGAAGCUUCUCGAAAGCACAGAACAGAAGGGAAGGGCACCGCUCAUGAGCAUAGCGCUCAAACAAGAGCCCACGAAGAGGAUCAAAGAAUUUGACGAGAGCUAUGAGAAUUUCCUACAUCUAAGGAAAGAUCCGGAGCUCGCGGAGCUCCUCUUGUCCAAAUACAAUAAAUACCGUGAUCAACCUUUGGGUUGAUUCCCAGCACAUGAAGAUGAAGAUGCAGGAGAUAUCAGCUAUGGAGCUACGAGUAGCCUAUCUCUCAGAGAGAGGGCGGCCCCAAGAAUAGACCGCAGAGGAGCAACCUUGUACGGUUGCAUUUGCCGAAGGGCCGACUAUGGACUGAUCGUCCCCUAUCCACGCCUUAAAUAUGACUCCAUUAAAGGAGUAGAAAUCACUCUAAGCCAACCGCAGGGAUCUUUCACUACUCCAGAUUGAGUGGAAGGAGGGAAUCCUGAUUUUCCCAAUAAGGCGGGAGGAAGACGAGAAAAAGCCUUAUCUAGACCGCUCCGUGGGGAUUUCUCAACUCCGUGAAAUGCACCCACAAAGAAGUGAAUAUGGAUAUAAAGAAGUCCGACGGGUCCGGAGGACCAAUUCUAAUGGGGAUCGUUGGGGAAUCAAUUUCUUAAGAAUCUUUGACCCCGUAGUUAGGAGUAUUAAGACCGAAGGCGUCACAGGUCCGAAGUCCUCGCAAUAUUCUUUGCGCCUGUGAAAAGUCAAUCAAAGAAAAGAAAAUGGGAAUGCAAAAUGUGCAUCUUUGUGCUAGAUUUCAGAUGAAUCCGCGGAGGGAAAUGCUAGGUUUUGACAUAGGGAAGUAGCAAGAAAAGACAAAAAAUCAGUCAUUUUUAGACAAUUUUCGUUAAAUAGAAAUCUUCAAAAAAGUCCUAUUUAGAAGCAAAAAAGCCGGGAAAUAGCAAUGAAAGAAGAAAGCCUAUAAAAGAAAUUCACAUGGAUCAGUUCUAGUUUGAGUUUAUGGUCCGGAGAAAUACAGGUCUAUUCUUCUCAAUAUUCUUUGACCCUCCGUCUUCAAUCUAGCAGAUUCAUAAUUCUUCUUGAAUUCGAGUUAAUGAGCUUCUUUCUUUGCGCCUGCGCCUGGACCAAAGGUUAAUAUGGAUGGAUAGUCCUCCUUCUAAUGGAUAGUCCUACUUCGGUUAAUUACGGAUGGUCCUACGGAUAAAUCCUCCGGACUCCGGAUAAAUCCUGCGGACUCCGGACUCCGGACUACUUCUGUUAAUUACGGAUGGUCCUACUUCGGUUAAUUACGGAUGGUCCUACUUCCAUAUGGAUAGUCCUACGGAUAAGAAUCCUCCGGACUCCGGACUACUUCCAUAUGGAUAGUCCUACUUCCAUAUGGAUAGUCCUCCGGAUAAAUCCUGCGGACUCCGGACUCCGGACCCUGGACCUUUCUUUGAUGGAGGUGAAAAGAAGAUUUUCGGACAUUCCCUGAAGCAGGAAGGUCACAUCCAGAGUCAGAAGUCAAUCUUCUUCCACCAGUCCCAGUGCCAGCUGAGGCAGAAAUACUUCACUCCCACUACUAGGUAGUUCUUCGGGGUCGGGUUGAGGCAGAGGUCCCAGUUCUUCUUGCUUUAGUUGAAUAAAGAUCAGUCGCAUCGUCCGUUGAUCGCUAUCUGAUCUCUUUAUGAAAGAAUGAAAGGGAUCACCACAGGGGAAUUGAGAUCACUUCCGAUACAUAUUCAAUAGUUCAGUUCUCGUAACCAUACUUUUUGUAUAUAGUUUGAAGCUAGUUCUUCAAGUUCGAGAUCGGUUGAGUUGAUAGUUACCGGCAUCUCCGGGACCGCAGUCCACUAGUGGUGGAGAGCUCUCGUCCGCUUUCUUUUCGGUGGGAAUCAGCAUCGGCAGAUGAAAGGUAGACUGAAACUGCCCCUCGGUAAAAUGCUAUUUUUCAUCUAUCAAUAUCCGAAGUAUUAGGCGCAAUGAAAUAUGCGAUUGCCUUCCAAAAAAAAAAGCUGUUAAAGCACUAAGUCAAAUGCUAGGGUAAGGCCAUCUAAUUACAGUAGGCAGUAGGAGUUACCAUCCCUCCAGUCCCCCUUUGCUUCCAACCAGUGUAGGAGUCGUUUUCUAGGCUCAUUCCCAAUCCAGUAGGAAAGCAGGCUCUAGGUCGAGAUAGACAGCAAGUAAGACAGUCGUCUGUCUAAGGGAAGGGUCUUACAGGAUUGAGAGAAGAUAGAAUUGGUAAUUGGGCUCUGUGGUCAUUCCCCUCUCUUUUGGUUGAUGAAUAGGUGAGCGCAUGCGGUUACUUCCGAACGAAGCGGUGGCAAGCUUUAGCUUAGCUGGCUAGCUGAAGAGAACAUGGGUUAAUGGGCUCUUAAGGCUUUCGGGUUCCCACCAGCUUUGGCUGCCCUGGGUCAAGACACUUUCAUGAAAGGAUGAGAGUUGCCAACCACAAGGAUCUUAUUUCCAAUCUUCGAAAAAGUCGUUCAAGAGCGGUAUUCUAAAUGAUGAGUUCUCGCUUGCACGCGCCACGUCGAAACUCAAGUCUUAGAACUCUUGCUCCUACCUUCUCAACUAUAGGAUACCACCAUCUGAUAUUGCUAGGCCCCACCACACAGAAUGAUGAACUUUGCGCCUCCAGGAAGGUCAAGCCAAGCCUUCAUGGAAUUUGUCUGGGCGAGAAGGGACUGUGACUCUGAGUCUAUUCUCGUCAUGAUCGAUUCACGUCCUACCUACGUUUGCUGAGAACCAAAGCUAGCAACCUCAGUCUUUGGAAAGGAAAGGAGAGGUGUGAAAGCCACUCGACUUGAAAGGAAAGAAAUAUCUGGCGUGCCGAACUUCAGUUACAACACUCUUUCCCUCCGAUCUGGGGGCUAGCUUGCUUCCACUGGUGGCGGGCGAAGGGUGCUCCGGAACUCCCAUCCAUCAGAGUGAGUUCCAGAAGGAGAUGUUCGCCGAGAGGUUUAGGAGAUAGGCUCAACCCCCACUCAUAGGUUUAGGCAGUUCGACCAGACGAGGAUGUGGUUUGUGCCCGCUCUUCCGCUUUUCAUCCUUUCUUUGGUGGAAAAAGCAGUCGCUUUUGUUCUUGAUUUGCUUAGAUUCAGAAUCUAAUAUAUAUAUAUAACUCAAAUCUCGGUUUAUGAUAAGAAAGAUUCCCAUGCUUAUAUUCAGAACUCCCACUGGCAUUUAACGAGAAGCAAGGGCUGCCGCUUUAGUGGAAUGAACGAGUCCUUCGGACGGCUAUGAGAUCUCUCAUUCUAAGGCGCAUCCGUCCCCCUCUUUCGGAGGCAGAUAAGGAAAAUCCCUCGUCCAGUCGGUCCUCCGGCAUUGAAUGAGAUCUCUUGACCAAUUUCUUCAUUUCCUGAUGUCUGACUGAGGCUUGUCACGGUACUCUCCAUCAUGGGUGAGGUUCAAUCCUCUCAUUCAUUUGAAGCGCUUUCCAUCCUCCAUUCCAAUUUUCCCAUGGCAUCUUUCUUCGUAAACAUUGAGAUAAAGUAGAAGCUCCCAUGACACAGGGACGGGAGGAGUUGAACCUCUCCUCUAAGUCGAGCGUCUGAGAACCUCUACCUCUCGAGUGGCCUGACCACGUCCCGCUAUUUCAGUAGUCUUUCAUCUUACUCGUUCAGCAAAAUCAAUAGAUAAUCAGAAGCCCUAACAAGAGCAUCUGCCACGGUGGGAUCCUUCCUAUCAUUCCAUUCUUUUUGAGUUUUAGUGAAGACCCCUCUAGUCAUCUGGACCUUUGUUUUUGGCGUGGGAAUUGAACCAGAUCCCCUUUAUUAAGGAGUAAGCCCACUCCGCGGUGCCAUAAGACAGGGAUAUUGUAAGGUCUAUAUUCUUCAAAAAACUGUUAGUAGCCUGAAGUCUUGUUUUUUAGAAGGAGUCAAAACUACUAUUCUCAUAAUCUACUCUAAGUGGCUUAUUUAGUGAAAAUGGUAAUUCAGCGGUUUCCGUGAAUCAAUAUAUAUUGCAUUCUAUCUUUUCUUGUGGUUUGCAUUUGCGAGACACAUGAAAGACGGAGAAAUACCAUAACUAAAAGAACCCAACAAAGGAGGACAAAGGCCAUUACGUACUCUGAGGAAGCACAAGGCGGGAGGAGAAUAGAAUAUUCUCUCUUUUCGGAGUGGGACCAAAGCAAAGACUAGACUCCAAAAGGCUGUUCGCCCAGAGGCAGUUCGACCUGUGGAUGUGGCUGCUUUUCUUGUUCUUUCUGUGGCAGAAGUCGUUGUUUUUGACAGAGUGUAGGCUCAAUGCAAUAUGAGCUUCUUUCAAAGCAAUUAUUCUGGUAGGAUAAAGAAAUGGAUGAAAUAGAGGGACGGAAGUAGCUCGACCAUAGGAAGAGGGACGGUGCGGUCUUUUUCUCAUUUAUGAGAUUAGUGAAUUAACGAAGAAGAACUCCUUCUACAGCCUAGUGGCCCCGAACCACCCGUGAAAAGAUAAAUGGACUAUCUUCCCAGGAAAGAAGGGGAAGGCCGGGUUUCAGGGAACCUCAAAGACGCGCCAUUUAUUAGUGACCAUUUUGCAAGGUUUUGACCUCUCCCAUAAGAAGAGAUACAUCAAAAUAGAAUAUGAUCCUCUUUUUAGUUUGAGUAGGUUUAGUAGGAAAAGAAAAAGCCUAGUAGAAGGCAUCAAAAUUCACCUUGUUCAUUGAUUGAACUUGAAUCUGCGUACUCGCAUAUUGAAUUUUUCCUUAACUGCGCCUACUUUAGAGCGAGUCUGAAAUCCAAGAAUAUCCCUGUCGAGCCUACAUCGCAAUAUUCUUUGCACCUUUAUCUUAACGGUCAAUGAAAUUUGAGAGAAAGAAUAUUUCAUUCCAAAAAAAAAGCUAUUAUAUGGAGCAAAGUGAUUUAUAGGAAAGCCCACGGAUUAAUUGACUGGAUCUUGUUGGAGAACUAAAAACCUAUCUUUAUAGUGGGACUUCUUUAUAUCCACUUAUUUAAUUAAUUGGAUCUUUCUUCUUCUUCUUUUUUCAGCCUUCGUCUUUGCCCCUUCGAUAAUUCUUUGAGCCUCUGGACUCAUUCAUUCCACCACCAGCCACCCCGUCCUUUUGACCUGGAUAUUCCACGGACUUAUUCCACCGCGUAGUGCGAUCUAUAUUUUGCCUUUCCAGAUCCGAUGUGCUGGCACCUUACGAGCCGUGGGGAUCCAGUGUACCAGGGCGCUUUCUUCUACUUUGAUAUUCCCUCGUCUACCAGGAUCAGGAUAAGGUUCCUUGCUUCUGAAUUAGUGAUUGAUUUGACCUUUCUCAGAGCAAAGAAAGAAGACGACUGCCUCGGCGAAAGAGAUGAAAGAAGGAGAUCAGCCACAAGAGCUGAAAGGACUGCUUCCCUUGAAAGCGCACCAAGGUACUGCCUCGAUCCUUUACCUCGUCAAAGUUAAGCUUCUUCGAUCCCUCUUCUGGAAACCUUGGGUUUCGCCUCCACAAGGCUUGGGGAAUUUACGUGCUUUGACCGACCGAAUGCUCAAAUAUGAACUAUAUUGAAAAAGAAGGAGUGGGCUUCAGUCUCUCCAUUCAAUGCUUUGGCGCAAGACUGCCCUCAGCACUCUAUUUGGUCACUCCCACUGUGACUGAUCCCUCUUCCGCGUAAGGGGUCGGGCCUCGUCUCGAGUUAGUUUACGUAAAAAGAUAAGAGGAAUCUCAUUAUGACUUGAGAAAGCCAAGCUUAUGAAAUGCGGGGUAUCUUUCGAGAAAGGUAUCCUUCUCCUGCAUUUGACGAUAUAGGUCGGCUUCGUCCAUCUCGCGAUCGUCCUCCUAUGCCCGGUUCUUCUCUUUAGUUUACUCUUAAUCGGGGUUCUACCGCACCCCUUUUCUAUUUCUUUUUGUGAGGGACUCAAAUUCUUUGAGCCUCCGUUCCAAAGCCUAAUUGCUGGAGAGGUCUCUCCUUUUAUUCACAGACAGAAAGAGAGAAGUCCAAUUAAAAGAGAAAUUCAUGAUUUCAUGGAAUGGGUUAGAAAAAAAGAGAAUGAGCACAGGCGAGAUCUAAUAUGAGUCUUCUAUAAUUUCAGAUUUCCUAUAUUAUUCUAAUCGUCAUAAUAGGGAAUGAAUCAGGUUAUUUGUCCAAAAGGAGAAAAGUGAAAGUGGAAUUCUCACAAAAUCAACCCCUUGUUCAUUCAGGCUAGGCUUUCUAGUAAUCGCGCCUCUUUCUUAAAGUCUUUUCCUGUCUACCCGCUCGAGUUCUUUGAGAGAAAUAGAUGAUCUCCUUUGAACCUUGUGAAUUGAUCUUUCUUCUUAUGAGCUUCGCGGAGUGCAAAGAAAGAGCUCCUUCUAAGUCUUAACCUAAAAAAUAAUAAUAGAAAGAGAUUCUUUACUCGUCCGUAUUCAAGAAUGACUACUCGUCUUAUUGAUUUCAUGGAAGUCAUUAAUAAAGUGUAAUAUCAAUUCAUUCUUUCGAUUUUCAUGAUGAGGCGCCAUAAGACAGGUCCGAAGGACCCAGAGAAAGAGUCUUCCAAAUCUUAAUACGAGAUAUAAGAGAAAAGAGAAGAUAAACCAGAAUAUCUUUGAACUAUCCUUUUAUAAGGCGAGAUCUAAUUGAGGAGAGGUAGUAGAAGGAGAUAGAAGAAGAGCCGGAUACUUUCAUAUUCUGAUUCCUUAUUAUUUGAUUUCGCGGUGCGAAGCGAAACGAAAGGUUUUGAUCAGAUUGAAAGAGUAUUCCAUUAGUAUGAGAUAAAAAGAAGAGCUGAUAUAAGUUGAUCCGAUUAUCGUAAGAGAUUAGUUAAGAUGUUGGUUAACCGUAUUCUGAAACAUGGAAAAAAAUCAUUGGCUUAUCAACGAGCCAUGAAAAAGAUUCAACAAAAGACAGAAAGAAAUCCACUAUCUCUUUUACGUCAAGCAAUACGUGGAGUAACUCCCGAUAUAGCAGUAAAGGCAAGACGUGUAGGCGGAUCAACUCAUCAAGUUCCCAUUGAAAUAGGAUCCACACAAGGAAAAGCACUUGCCAUUCGUUGGUUAUUAGGGGCAUCCCGAAAACGUCCCGGUAGAAAUAUGGCUUUCAAAUUC